UGAGGCACAGAAAGCCCAAGCUCUUGCACAAGGAUCAGAAGGGGGUAUAACCAGAAUUUGUUUCUCAGCAUCCUGACCAACAAUUAUUUUACCUACUAAACAGGGAAGCCUUUCAAAUAUAAUCCAGGGUAUCCGCUUCAUUUUACAACUAAAGAAAUGAAGGCUGGUUUCUGCUGGUCUAGACAUCUGGGUUCCAAAAGAAGAAUGCAUCUCCCAGGAGACAUGACAAUGAUUCCAUUCAACAGGAAGUUGAGACUGCCACCUGAACACUUUGGGCUCCUCAUGCCUCUGAAUCAACGGGCAAAGAAGAGAGUUAUAGAUCCUAACCACCCAGGAGAAAUUCGGUGGCCACUACACAAACAGACUUUUCUGACUCUGCGGCCAGGUGUUUGUAUUUAACUCCACGGUGAGGAGACUCAUCUUCUGACGGACCUAACCUAUACCAUCAAGCUCCAGCACCACAAGCAAAGACAAAAACCUUGCGGAAACUAUUUAACUAACUCCCACAAUUGCAUAAGGAUCUAAAUGAAAAUAUUUCUGCAGUGAACCAGUUCUAUUGUUUUAAAUAUCACCCUUAUUAAAGAGAGCUUUGACACUUUU
rnacentral:lncRNA from 1 species